rnacentral:rRNA from 1 species
UACGGAGGAUCCAAGCGUUAUCCGGAAUUACUGGGCGUAAAGAGUUGCGUAGGUGGCAUAGUAAGCAGGUAGUGAAAGCGUGGGGCUCAACCCUAUACACAUUAUCUGAACUGCUAAGCUAGAGGACAAGAGAGGUUAUUGGAAUUCCUAGUGUAGGAGUGAAAUCCGUAGAUAUUAGGAGGAACACCGAUGGCGUAGGCAGAUAACUGGCUUGUUCCUGACACUAAGGCACGAAAGCGUGGGUAGCAAACGGG